AAGCGUUUAUGACCAGACUUUUUCCAAGCGGAUCAUCCGGUGUUCUCACCGGUGCACUUCGUUUGGUUGAGGCCAGCAUCGGUUUUCGUAGAGGGAUAAAAGCUUAAGGAAUGUGGCUCCCUCGGGAGUGUUAUAGCCUUUUGUAUAAUACCUCUAUGGGGACCGAGGUUCGCGCAUCUGCAAGGAUGCUGGCGUAAUGGUCAUCAACGA
rnacentral:rRNA from 1 species